CCUACGGGAGGCAGCAGCAAGGAAUUUUCGUCAAUGGGGGAAACCCUGAACGAGCAACGCCGCGUGGGCGAAGAAGUCCUUCGGGAUGUAAAGCCCUUUUCCCUGUGAAGAAAGAAAGACGGUAGCAGGGGAAUAAGCAUCGGCUAACUACGUGCCAGCAGCCGCGGUAAUACGUAGGAUGCAAGCGUUGUCCGGAAUUAUUGGGCGUAAAGAGCGCGCAGGCGGUUUUACAAGUCAGAUGUGAAAGAGGCCGGCUUAACCGGCAAGGGUCAUUUGAAACUGUAAGACUAGAGUACAGCAGAGGAUAGCGGAAUUCCCGGUGUAGUGGUGAAAUGCGUAGAUAUCGGGAGGAACACCAGUGGCGAAGGCGGCUAUCUGGGCUGAAACUGACGCUGAGGCGCGAAGGCUAGGGUAGCAAACAGGAUUAGAUACCCCUGUAGUC
rnacentral:rRNA from 1 species